rnacentral:lncRNA from 1 species
UUUUACCAAAAAUUGACAUUUCAUUCAAACCAGUCUCUAAUUUUUAUUUAAUCAUCUUACUUCCAUAAACAUUCACAGUAUCAACUGCUGGUUUUCUCCUGAGCCAUGCUGUUUCUGUUUUCUGGGGACAUCCUAGUGUUUCUUUAGUAUAGUCUACAGUACUAUUAUUCUAAUUACUCAGGAGAAAGAAAAACAAAAACACCAAUUGUAGUCAACUAAUGAAGUAGAUCAUUUUUUUUUUUAUUUAUUCAUGAGAGACACACACAGAGAGAGUCAGAGACAGGCAGAAGGAGAAGCAGGCUCCAUGCAAGGAGCCCAAUGUAGAGCUCGAUCACAGGACUCCAGGAUCACACCCUGGGCCAAAGGCAGACACUUAACCACUGAGUCACCCAGGCAUCCCUGAAGUAGAUCAUCUUUAAAAAACUUCUGGGGCACCUUGAUGGCUCAGUGGUUGAGCAUCUGGUCUUUGGCUCAGGGCAUGAUCCUAGGGUCCUGGAAUCAAGUCCCACAGCAGGCUCCUCACAGGAAGUCGGCUUCUCUCUCUGCCUCUCUCUGUAUCUCUCAUGAAUAAACAAAAUCUUAAAAAACAUAAACUUCUUCUAAUUUUUCAUCAUACUUGUAACUUCUAGUCCUGUGAUGUCUAAUUUUAUGUGUCUAAUUUUAUGUGUCAACUUGACAGGACCACAGUUUAACCAAAUAUGCCCAGAUAUUUGGUUAAACAUUCUGUGUGUGUCUGUGAGGGUGUUUCUAUAUGAGUUAACAUGUGAAUUAGUAGACUAAGAAAAGCAGAUUGCCCUCCACAGUGUGAGUAGGCCUCAUUUAAUCCAUUGAAGGUCUGAAUAGAAUAGUUCAGGCCUGCAGAAUUGACUGGGACUUCUUCAGAGGCUCUCUUGGACUACUGAGCCGCUAUAAUCAUGUGAUAACUCUAGAGUUGGCUCAUACACACACACACACACACACACACACACACAUAUACACAUACACACAUAUAUGGAUAGAGACAGAGACAAAUACACACAUACAUAUGCCUAAACAUAUAGAUUUCUCCUGCUGGUUCUGUUGAUCUGUAGAACCCUGACUAUGUAAGUACCAAAACAAAAUCCUAAAAAAUUCCAUAGCUGACUUCUUGAAUCAACCAAUAUUUUGGGCCACUAAUUUACUAAUAUAAGCAGCUUAAUGUUUGAAUAAAUGGCAGGGUGGCAUACGGCCAAUUAAAUUACAAUUUGGUACCUAAUAAUAUAGAACAAUGGAAUAUUAUAACUAGAGGUUAUCUAAACUCAAACCCUUCACUGAAAACAUAAGGGAAAAAAAUUAUAGAGGUUAAACGACUUCCCCUAGCCAAAGCUAGUUAAAGACAAAAGUAGAAAUCAAACAUAGGUCUCCAGAUUGUCUCUAUCCAAUUUUCUCUCUACUGCAUUUCAUUGUUGUUUUUAUAGUUGUGAUUAUAGUUUGACUUGAGGUCUCUGCAAAUUCUCUAUGGUCUCUCAUUAUGAACAAAUGAACACUACUUGAAAUAUAAUUUAACCAUAUAUCCUACAAAACAGCAGUCAGCCAGCAGCACAUACCUACUAAUCACUGAUACUGACUGAAUUACAUUCACAAGGCAAAAGCUUCCCAAUAUAAAAUUAUGGUGAUUGCAAGUAAAGAACAGAAUAUAUUUCACUGCCUCUACAUUUACCUAACCUCAAAACAUUUUUCCAAAUAUAUAGUGGACAAAGUCCUUCUUGUUGAGACAAUUUCACAGUGUAUCACAAGAGAAAAUAAUUAAGAUAUUUGAUCAACUCAAUAAUUCAAAGUAAGAAGCAAAGACCUGAGAUGGGUGACUAAGAGUCAUGUACACAAGACAAACUCCCUUAAAGAGAAAAUAUGCAGGGACACCUGGGUGGCUCAGCAGUAGAGUGUCUGCCUUUGGCUCAGGGCGUGAUCCCAGAGUUCUGGAGCCUGCUUCUCCUUCUGCCAAUGUCUCUGCCUUCUCUGUGUGUCUCUCAUGAAUAAAUAAAAUCUUUAAAAAAAUAAAAUAAAGACAAAACAUGCAGAAAUUGAAAAAUAUCAAGGAAACUCUUCAUUCACUAGCCACCAAAGGAGAUUUAAAGCUAUGCAUAGAAGGCAUUUGGAUCUGAGGAUAGAAGCCAGAUUAUCUAACACCAAGUACAUGCUGUCCACCUUAAAAUCCAGGUUCAAUAUAGUAGAAAAUUAUCUACCUAAAGUUUCCAGGACUUAAGCCAUUCAAGAUGAUCAGAUCUCCUGAGUUUAGAUAUCUGCAAUUUUAAAAGUAUAAUCCCUAACAACUUCUGGAUGCACUGUCUUGAAUUCCAUUUCAUUAAAUGGUUUUAAAAAACAAAUGUACACACACAUACAUAUACACUUAUAUUUACAAAUUAUAGUUCAUCAUAGUCACUGGAAUUACAUCAGCAGUAUACACCUGGAAUUAUACUUCAAUUAUUGCCAUUAGAGUUGUCAUUUAAAAAUCCUUUUAUUUAUUUUUUUAUUUAUUGUUUUUAUUUUUUUGUAUAUUUUUAUGGAGUUCAACGUGCCAAC